rnacentral:rRNA from 1 species
CGGUGGCGGACUGAGGAGGGACAUUACAAGUGACCCCGGUCUAACCACCGGGAUGUUCAUAACCCUUUGUUGUCCGACUCUGUUGCCUCCGGGGCGACCCUGCCUUCGGGCGGGGGCUCCGGGUGGACACUUCAAACUCUUGCGUAACUUUGCAGUCUGAGUAAACUUAAUUAAUAAAUUAAAACUUUUAACAACGGAUCUCUUGGUUCUGGCAUCGAUGAAGAACGCAGCGAAAUGCGAUAAGUAAUGUGAAUUGCAGAAUUCAGUGAAUCAUCGAAUCUUUGAACGCACAUUGCGCCCCCUGGUAUUCCGGGGGGCAUGCCUGUUCGAGCGUCAUUUCACCACUCAAGCCUCGCUUGGUAUUGGGCAACGCGGUCCGCCGCGUGCCUCAAAUCGACCGGCUGGGUCUUCUGUCCCCUAAGCGUUGUGGAAACUAUUCGCUAAAGGGUGCUCGGGAGGCUACGCCGUAAAACAAACCCAUUUCUAAGGUUGACCUCGGAUCAGGUAGGGAUACCCGCUGAACUUAAGCAUAUCAAAAGCGGGAGAGAA